UUAGAAAAAUCUGUGGAAUAGACUUUACCACUGGAUUUUUUUUUCCCCAGGUAACAUGUUUAUACUUGCCGUGUGAUCUGGUAAAUCAACUGUAUAUGCCUGAGCAUGAAAUCAGGCUCUGGUUCUCAAGAGCAGAGUGGAGGAGUAUGCACUGGGAGAUUCAG
rnacentral:lncRNA from 12 species